UCCGGGGGGGGCGAGCGUUGUUCGGAAUUAUUGGGCGUAAAGGGUGCGUAGGCGGUUUGGUAAGUCUGAUGUGAAAUCUAUGGGCUCAACUCAUAGUCUGCAUCGGAAACUGCCGGGCUUGAGUGUGGGAGAGGUGAGUGGAAUUCCUGGUGUAGCGGUGGAAUGCGCAGAUAUCAGGAGGAACACCAAUAGCGAAGGCAGCUCGCUGGGACGGUACUGACGCUAAGGCGCGAAAGCGUGGGGAGCGAACAGG
rnacentral:rRNA from 1 species